UACGGAGGAUGCAAGCGUUAUCCGGAAUGAUUGGGUGUAAAGCGUCCGCAGGUGGCUGUGUAAGUCUGCUGUCAAAGAGCGAAGCUCAACUUCGUAAAGGCAGUGGAAACUACACGGCUAGAGUGCGUUCGGGGCAGAGGGAAUUCCUGGUGUAGCGGUGAAAUGCGUAGAGAUCAGGAAGAACACCGGUGGCGAAGGCGCUCUGCUAGGCCGCAACUGACACUGAGGGACGAAAGCUAGGGGAGCGAAUGGG
rnacentral:rRNA from 1 species